GUGCGAUAAAGGCAAAUUCCGGCGAAAGCCGGAAGACGCAAAACCACGGGGCUUCUUGCCGACAACGGCACAGCCAGCCGGGUUACCGAA
rnacentral:ncRNA from 1 species